rnacentral:rRNA from 1 species
UACGAAGGGGGCUAGCGUUGCUCGGAAUCACUGGGCGUAAAGCGCACGUAGGCGGAUUGCUAAGUCAGGGGUGAAAUCCCUGGGCUCAACCGAGGAAGUGCAUUCGAAACUGGCUAGCUAGAGAGUGGUAGAGGAAGGUGGAAUUCCAAGUGUAGAGGUGAAAUUCGUAGAUAUUUGGAGGAAUACCGGUGGCGAAGGCGGCCUUCUGGGCCACUUCUGACGCUGAGACGCGAAAGCGUGGGGAGCAAACAGG